GUGGGGAAUAUUGGACAAUGGGCGAAAGCCUGAUCCAGCAAUGCCGCGUGAGUGAUGAAGGCCUUAGGGUUGUAAAGCUCUUUUACCCGGGAAGAUAAUGACUGUACCGGGAGAAUAAGCCCCGGCUAACUCCGUGCCAGCAGCCGCGGUAAUACGGAGGGGGCUAGCGUUGUUCGGAAUUACUGGGCGUAAAGCGCACGUAGGCGGCUGUUUAAGUCAGAGGUGAAAGCCCAGGGCUCAACCCUGGAACUGCCUUUGAGACUGGACGGCUUGAAUCACGGAGAGGUGGGUGGAAUUCCGAGUGUAGAGGUGAAAUUCGUAGAUAUUCGGAAGAACACCAGUGGCGAAGGCGGCCCACUGGACGUGUAUUGACGCUGAGGUGCGAAAGCGUGGGGAGCAAACAGG
rnacentral:rRNA from 1 species